rnacentral:rRNA from 1 species
CGCGGUAUAAUGACCGUGCGAAGGUAGCAUAAUCAUUAGUCUUUUAAUUGAAGGCUUGUAUGAAUGGUUGGACGAAAAGUGAUCUGUCUCUAUUAAAAUAAUUGAAUUUAACUUUUGAGUGAGAAGGCUUAAAUGGUCUAGAGGGACGAUAAGACCCUAUAAAGUUUGACAUUAUAAUAAUAAAAAGUUAAUAGGAAUUGUAAGAUUUUUUGUUGUAAAUAGUGUUUUGUUGGGGCGACAAGAAUAUAAAUAAUUUAACUGUUCUUUUUUGUAUCAAAUAUAUUUGAAUUAAUGAUCUUUUUAAGAGUAUUAGAGUAAAUUACUUUAGGGAUAACAGCGUAAUUUUUUUUGAGAGUUCUUAUCGACAAAAGAGUUUGCGACCUCGAUGUUGAAUUAAAGAUUCUUUAUAAUGUAGAAGUUAUAAAAG